rnacentral:lncRNA from 1 species
AAAGCAUGAAGGAGAUCUGACUGAUGGCUUGGGGUCGCGGUGGUCCGCUACACCUGAAUCACGCCAUCGAAGUCGUUCGAACCCGGCAUGUGCUCGAGUAGGGGUCGUCGGGUACACUGAGUGCGUCUAGGACCUCUUUGUGUGAGCUCGGUGUCCAGAGAGCUCGUCGCCAUGAAAAUUGAGAUGGAUCGCCGCCGCGAAUCUAUGCCUAGCGUGGUCGGGUUCCGUCGCGCCCUAGACUCCGGUAUGAAUUCGUCUCUGACACUCAUCAUCUUCCGUAGGGCGCUUAUGGCACGUGCGGUUUUUGAGUUUGGGCACGGGGCGUCGGCUUUGCCAAUCACUAGCGAAGACGCCGCCAUGGGCGAAGUCCCCUAUGUGGUCGUGCCCUGUAUCGGGGGAAAGAAGAAUGCGUCGUAGCCGUCAGAUCUCGGAGGGGUGGCUGCGAUUAGAAAGCGUAAACCCCUUCACGUGAUUUGAUCUGAGUCGUCGAUCUAGAUCGGGCGGUUCUAAUUUGAUGAAGGAUAAAUUAAAUCUACGCCAUCAAUCCUUGAUAUAACGACUUUGCCUGUGUACCGGUUUGGAUUGGGCUAGAUCUAAUAUGGGCCCUCGGCUUUUGAUCGGACGACCCUGAUUGACUCGUACCCCUUCGUCGAGGCAAACUUUCUAAAGAGCCCCUGACUUUAUUGAGAAUAAACCCGCAGUCCACACUGGGGGAAGCCUGAGUCUUAGGGAAAUUGUGAUUUAGGCCCAUGUGUUUCUCUGUUUAGUAAUGAAAAAUGAAUUAAAAUUAUUCAUCUAAAUUAAUCUAUACCAUGUACUCAAUAACUCCAGAAAUUCAUAACUCAAUAAUCGUAACUCCGUUUUGAUCAAUUCUAGUUGCAUUAGUCUCACAAUAAUAUUUAUUAUUAUCUGGUAACUUUGUUUUGUCAUGAAAUAUAGGUUAAAAUUUUGCACUUAGUCUAUUCUAUAUUAACCACGUGGAUCUUCUGAAAACCAUAACUUCAUAACCGUAACCCCGAAUUUAGUGGUUCUCGAACCCACGAUCUUGUAGUGACGCGUAGAUUAUUAUCACGCAGUUUAUUCUUACGUUUGGUGUGAUGUUAAUUUUGCCUAUGCCAUGUUUGUCCGUAUUGCUACGUUUAGUAGUGACGACACGAGCCACCUGAAGAGCAAGUUGGUACCUGGAAUUUGAGGUCCCAGGAAAGUUGUGCCCUUGAUCACUUCUUUUUACCCUGUCAUGUUCUGAUUAAUCAUAAUGAUCUACAUAGGUUAAUUUUGGUGGGACCCAAUAGGUCACCCUAGUUUGACUAUCUUUAUACCUUGUUUUCCACUGAAUUUUUGGGUAGUACCUGCUAUUUCUUUAUGUGGUUUUGGGUAUAGAGAUACACAUUAUUCAUGAUUAUACUUUUAUUAUCAGUUGCAAUUUAUUGUUCAUGUUAAGAUCAUUAUGUUAAUUGGAACAUGGAGAACCACACGGGAAAACAAUGCUACCACAAAGGUGGUAUGGGACGCCCUUGGCUGACUAAUUAGGAAAGCUAGUGGAGGACUACCUUACCCAAAAGAGGCAAGGGCCAUAGGGGAGUGGUCAGUGUAGGGGGUCCUUGGGUUGAUUUUGCUGCGAUGGCGGUCAGGCGAGGGAUCCCUACAUUGGAGCUUCCUACAAACUAUAGCGGGUUUUCUGAAGCUAGUGGAACUUUGUAAAGGCAUCGUAGUGUUACCCUGUCUCGCCUCCUCGGUAGAGGUGUAUGGGAUUGGCCUUCUCUUGGCAGAUGGGUAACAUGACUUGUGGGUAAAGAUGCGCAACCUCUGCAGAGUGUAAAACUGGUAUACUAGCCAUGCUCACAGUCAUGAGCAGCUCGGACACUCACAUGAUUAAUUUAUGGAACUAAAUUCAAUUUGUCAUAUGCAUUGCAUUGAGGCUGUUGUUAUUACUUUUGUUCUACUACUUAAUUGGGUUGGUAUUUACUUAUACUUAGUAACUGCUAAUAAAAUUUUGACCAACUUUAAAAGCAAUGCUCACCUCCAACCAUCCUCUUUGGUAAGCCUUACACUUCACGUGAGCUCCCACCUUUGGCGAGUUCAUGCACAUUAUUCCCCACAACUUGUUGAGCUAUGAACGUAUGUGAGCUCACUCUUGCUGUCUCACACCCCGCACAGGUCAAGAACUGGUACCACAGGAUGAGGCGCAUGGAGGAUGCUGUGACGUGUUCGUGAGAGGUUUAGGUCGUCGUCUCCCAGUCAACUUUGGGUUGCUGGAUCGUUGUCUCCUUAUGAUGUAAUUAUUUAUUUAUUUUAUACAGAACUCAUAUUAUAUAGUAAAGAUGUGACAUUCGUUUCUGUACCACUAUUCAUCAUAUGUGUGAGACUUGGUCCCAGCACACCUGGUGUUUAUUUCGCGCCCGGGUUUUGGACCCCUAAAACCCGGGUGUGACAUAAGUUGUAUCAGAGCGAUGUUGACUGUAAGACAAAACCUAGAUAGAACUGGACAACCAUUAUAUACUUACCUUUGCUACUCUAAUCCUUUCUAAACUUUUCUUAAUCUCUUACUCUGAUUACUCUUACCUUUUCUUUCUAAAAUACAAAUGUGGAUUUCACACUUUGAAAUCCCGUGCCUAAAGUGACCUUUAGGAAUAGGAGACCUACUCUUAGGAACAAAAACAAAACUAUUUUUAUAGGUACCUAUACGCUUGAAUAUUUGUUCUUAUGAUAUUUGUCUGAUUUGGAUCUUUGAUUGAGUGUGAUGGGUUGUGGAGUAAUGUCCACAAUUACAUCUGCAUAUACAUAUAGGAAAAUAUGCUUACAAAAAUAACUAGACAAACUAGAUUAUCCCUCAUUAAAGUAUCUACCCUAACAAUAUCCAUCUCAUCUUAAAAGAUUCUAUUCUACACUCAUAGAUCCGUCUCAUCUCAAAAGAUCCUAACUAUCCUAAUUAACAUAUAUCUAGCUUAAUAGAUCCAUCUUAUCUUAAAAGAUACUCUAUUACCUUAGUAGAUUCAUCUUAUCUUGAAGAGAUUUUAUGUCAUCCUAAUAGAUCUAACUGACCGCAAAAGAUUUUACCUUAUCCUUAUGGAUUCAUCUUUCCCUAAUUCGCAUAUUAUCCCACUCUAGAAUAACAACCAUGAGCUAAACCAAAAUUUAUUUAGAUCUUAUCUAGUCUAAAAUAGUCAUAUCAAUCUAUUCUAGAUCUGAUCCAAUAGGUUAAUCUAACCUAACGAAGGCUAACCUCAAGUUGAGCUAAUCUAAUGUGGUCUACUUAAAUAGAUUAGAGAUACUGGUAGAAGAGAUUAGUCCCUACUAGCCAGGUGUUAGUGACCAACUCAACCAUGACUAAAAGAGCUAACCCAACCAAUACAGACAUGAUGAAUUGUAUAAUCUAUCUAUCCCCACCUAACAUCAAACAAACUUUUGACCUACAUCAUGUAGUCUAUCUCCUCCAUAUCUGUUUUAACCAUAUUCACCAACCCCGAUGAUAUACACUAACCUCAAAUCAAUGAGACCAAGAUCGGAGAAGGAAAGAUCGACAUCGACAAGGAAGGAUAUAAUGGUCAAAGUAAAUCUCGAGAUGAAUCAAGACUUAAACAUAUUGGAUAAAUUCUUUUCCUUGACAUAAUCUUUCUUACCUCAACAUGUCCAGCUUAUAUCCUACAUAAUAUGUAGCUGGAUACCUAUGCUCUCCUAAUCACCCACUAAUGACUAUAAAAAAAGAGACUCUAGAAGUUUGAACCAAUUAAAGACUAAAAGUUGAAUUACAAACCAAUCUUUAUGUAUCCCUUUCCUUACAAAUCUGGAGGACGAGAUUUAUGUUAAGGGGGUAGGAUUUGUAAAGCCCAAAAUUGGUAUAAGAAAAAAAUAAUAAAAAAAUGAAUAAAAAUUUUUAUAAGUGAGCAUUUUGGGGGAAUUCCUUGAAUUCUUUUUUUAUUUUUUUGCAUACUUAACUAAUGGCAUUAAAUUAUGCAAAUAACAAAUAAACAAAUAAAUGAAAUAAUAUGAAUAGUGCAUCACAUAUUGGAUUUUGAUUGUACUUUUAUUUUUGAAAAUUAAAUGUGAAACCAGAGUCAAAUUUGAAUUGAAACACAAAAUUGAUUUGGGAAUAUCUAUGAUGCAUUAGAAAAUGACUCUUAACAAUAAUAUCUCUUGUUAAUAGAUACAAAACUAAACUAUGCUGCAUGCUGGGAAUUUUGAAUGCACAUAUAGUUCUGGUUGAGACUUAAACUCAUAUUUGAAAUCCAAAAGCAGAUUUGAAUAUAGCAAUUAAAAAUAGAAAAGAAAUAGAGAAAAGGAUUUCCUGCUGACGUUGGGCCAAAACCACCAGCCCGACCCAACACCAUGCGCACGCAGAAGCCUAGCCCCUCACCCUUUCCUUUUUGUCAAUGGCGCGUGGGCCCCGUCUUCCAGUAAAAGCUAUCCCCUCCCCUAUCCAAUGUUCACGCGUACACCAUGUAUGGCGUGUGGGCCAACCCUGUCUGGUGCUUCCCCUAGCUUCGGCCGUUGCAAACCGCCCCAACAAAUCCGCGUCCAAGUUGCUGGAAUCUCUCCCCGGUCGGGCUCAGCAAUAGAGUAUAAAACCUGAACCCUGCACCCUUGAAGCGCCCAACCCGCCAUAUUCAAGAGCCCUCAUCGAAAGCAUGAAGGAGAUCUGACUGAUGGCUUGGGGUCGCGGUGGUCCGCUACACCUGAAUCACACCAUCGAAGUCGUUCGAACCCGGCAUGUGCUCGAGUAGGGGUCGUCGGGUACACUGAGUGUGUCCAGGACCUCUUCGUGCAAGCUCGAUGAUCGGAGAGCUCGUCGCCAUGAAAACUGAGAUGGAUCGCCGCCGUGAAUCUAUGCCUGGCGUGGUAGGGUUCCGUCGCGCCCUAGACUCCGGUAUGAAUUCGUCUCUGGCACUCACCAUCUUCUGUAGGGCGCUUAUGGCACGGGUGGUUUUUGAGUUUGGGCACGGGGCGCCGGCUUUGCCAAUUGCAGGCGAAG